rnacentral:misc_RNA from 1 species
UCUCCGUAGGUGAACCUGCGGAGGGAUCAUUACAGAGUUCAUGCCCUACCGGGUAGAUCUCCCACCCUAUGUUAUUAUUACUUUGUUGCUUUGGCGGGCCGUUAGGCUCCGGCCCGACUACCGGCCCCGGCUGGUAAGCGCCCGCCAGAGGACCCAAAACCCUGAAUAUUAGUGUCGUCUGAGUACUAGAUAAUAGUUAAAACUUUCAACAACGGAUCUCUUGGUUCUG